rnacentral:lncRNA from 12 species
UAACUCUCAUAAGGCUGUUAUCACAGUGAUGCCUCUGCUUGCCAUCUUCCAGGAUGUAUCUUUGAGGAUUUGUGUUUGGAAUUACAGUGAUGGAGAGUAUGAGACCAGUCCUGUAGCUUCCUCAGCUCAACAAGAUUCUAAGGACGAUCUGGGCCAUUCAAGAUCAGCAGGCCUGAAUGCGUAAUUUUAAGAUGGUCUCUGAAAUACUGAGAAACACUACAUGAAACAAGUUCC